rnacentral:lncRNA from 1 species
CAGGGUGUAUAAAAAAAAAGUAGCCAGUCGAAAUAUCUGGACUAUGGAAGCGAUUUUCAAAAAACCCUGAAACACGUGUCUCAUUAUAUGAAAGGGGAAACUUUUUCAGGGGGGUUUCAUUUUUUUACUCUUACCAGGGGCGGCCCCAGGGAGGGGACCAUCAAAAUCUUAAAUUUGAUGAUAUACUUUUUGGUACGCAAAGUCAAAGUAGACGUCAUUUGGAGUACUUUGUAACAAAUUUGAGCUCUCUACUCAAAUCAGGGCCGAAGAUAUAGGGAUUUAAAGCUCUGCGAGGUUUUUGAAUUUUUGACUUGGAAAUAGCUUACAGUUAAUUUUAAAUUGUUCACUAUUGUUUUCCAUGUCCCUUGCGAUGCAAAAAAAAACAACUUUUUUUCUUCACAUAGGACCAGGGGCGUUCCCUAAUUUAAUUGAAAUAAUAUUAUACUCAUCUGAGACCGCCCCUGAUUUACUCAGAAUUUAAAUUCCAUCGUUUAUUGUGUCUAUUAAUUCAAAUAUCACUAGCCAAUGACCCAAGUCGAAGUAUAAAUUAAAUUUGAACACAUUAUACAGGUACAUUUUAGACCCUAGGGAACGCCCCUGGUCCUAGUUGAAGAGAAAAAAAGUUUUUUGUAUCGCAAGGGACAUGCCAAACAAUAUUGAACAGUUUAAAAUUAACUGUGAGCUAUUUCCAAGUCAAAAAUUCAAAAAUACAUCAGAACUUUAGGUCCCCAUAUCUCCG